GAUUAAGUUAUUAAGGGCGCACGGUGGAUGCCUUGGCACUAGAAGCCGAUGAAGGACGUUACUAACGACGAUAUGCUUUGGGGAGCUGUAAGUAAGCUUUGAUCCAGAGAUUUCCGAAUGGGGAAACCCAGCAUGAGUUAUGUCAUGUUAUCGAUAUGUGAAUACAUAGCAUAUCAGAAGGCACACCCGGAGAACUGAAACAUCUUAGUACCCGGAGGAAGAGAAAGAAAAUUCGAUUCCCUUAGUAGCGGCGAGCGAAACGGGAAGAGCCCAAACCAACAAGCUUGCUUGUUGGGGUUGUAGGACACUCUAUACGGAGUUACAAAGGACGACAUUAGACGAAUCAUCUGGAAAGAUGAAUCAAAGAAGGUAAUAAUCCUGUAGUCGAAAAUGUUGUCUCUCUUGAGUGGAUCCUGAGUACGACGGAGCACGUGAAAUUCCGUCGGAAUCUGGGAGGACCAUCUCCUAAGGCUAAAUACUCUCUAGUGACCGAUAGUGAACCAGUACCGUGAGGGAAAGGUGAAAAGCACCCCGGAAGGGGAGUGAAAUAGAACCUGAAACCGUGUGCUUACAAGUAGUCAGAGCCCGUUAAUGGGUGAUGGCGUGCCUUUUGUAGAAUGAACCGGCGAGUUACGAUUUGAUGCAAGGUUAAGCAGUAAAUGUGGAGCCGUAGCGAAAGCGAGUCUGAAUAGGGCGUUUAGUAUUUGGUCGUAGACCCGAAACCAGGUGAUCUACCCUUGGUCAGGUUGAAGUUCAGGUAACACUGAAUGGAGGACCGAACCGACUUACGUUGAAAAGUGAGCGGAUGAACUGAGGGUAGCGGAGAAAUUCCAAUCGAACCUGGAGAUAGCUGGUUCUCUCCGAAAUAGCUUUAGGGCUAGCCUCAAGUGAUGAUUAUUGGAGGUAGAGCACUGUUUGGACGAGGGGCCCCUCUCGGGUUACCGAAUUCAGACAAACUCCGAAUGCCAAUUAAUUUAACUUGGGAGUCAGAACAUGGGUGAUAAGGUCCGUGUUCGAAAGGGAAACAGCCCAGACCACCAGCUAAGGUCCCAAAAUAUAUGUUAAGUGGAAAAGGAUGUGGCGUUGCCCAGACAACUAGGAUGUUGGCUUAGAAGCAGCCAUCAUUUAAAGAGUGCGUAAUAGCUCACUAGUCGAGUGACACUGCGCCGAAAAUGUACCGGGGCUAAAACAUAUUACCGAAGCUGUGGAUUGUCCUUUGGACAAUGGUAGGAGAGCGUUCUAAGGGCGUUGAAGCAUGAUCGUAAGGACAUGUGGAGCGCUUAGAAGUGAGAAUGCCGGUGUGAGUAGCGAAAGACGGGUGAGAAUCCCGUCCACCGAUUGACUAAGGUUUCCAGAGGAAGGCUCGUCCGCUCUGGGUUAGUCGGGUCCUAAGCUGAGGCCGACAGGCGUAGGCGAUGGAUAACAGGUUGAUAUUCCUGUACCACCUAUAAUCGUUUUAAUCGAUGGGGGGACGCAGUAGGAUAGGCGAAGCGUGCGAUUGGAUUGCACGUCUAAGCAGUAAGGCUGAGUAUUAGGCAAAUCCGGUACUCGUUAAGGCUGAGCUGUGAUGGGGAGAAGACAUUGUGUCUUCGAGUCGUUGAUUUCACACUGCCGAGAAAAGCCUCUAGAUAGAAAAUAGGUGCCCGUACCGCAAACCGACACAGGUAGUCAAGAUGAGAAUUCUAAGGUGAGCGAGCGAACUCUCGUUAAGGAACUCGGCAAAAUGACCCCGUAACUUCGGGAGAAGGGGUGCUCUUUAGGGUUAACGCCCAGAAGAGCCGCAGUGAAUAGGCCCAAGCGACUGUUUAUCAAAAACACAGGUCUCUGCUAAACCGUAAGGUGAUGUAUAGGGGCUGACGCCUGCCCGGUGCUGGAAGGUUAAGAGGAGUGGUUAGCUUCUGCGAAGCUACGAAUCGAAGCCCCAGUAAACGGCGGCCGUAACUAUAACGGUCCUAAGGUAGCGAAAUUCCUUGUCGGGUAAGUUCCGACCCGCACGAAAGGCGUAACGAUUUGGGCACUGUCUCAACGAGAGACUCGGUGAAAUCAUAGUACCUGUGAAGAUGCAGGUUACCCGCGACAGGACGGAAAGACCCCGUGGAGCUUUACUAUAGCCUGAUAUUGAAAUUCGGCACAGCUUGUACAGGAUAGGUAGGAGCCUUUGAAACGUGAGCGCUAGCUUACGUGGAGGCGCUGGUGGGAUACUACCCUAGCUGUGUUGGCUUUCUAACCCGCACCACUUAUCGUGGUGGGAGACAGUGUCAGGCGGGCAGUUUGACUGGGGCGGUCGCCUCCUAAAAGGUAACGGAGGCGCUCAAAGGUUCCCUCAGAAUGGUUGGAAAUCAUUCAUAGAGUGUAAAGGCAUAAGGGAGCUUGACUGCGAGACCUACAAGUCGAGCAGGGUCGAAAGACGGACUUAGUGAUCCGGUGGUUCCGCAUGGAAGGGCCAUCGCUCAACGGAUAAAAGCUACCCCGGGGAUAACAGGCUUAUCUCCCCCAAGAGUUCACAUCGACGGGGAGGUUUGGCACCUCGAUGUCGGCUCAUCGCAUCCUGGGGCUGUAGUCGGUCCCAAGGGUUGGGCUGUUCGCCCAUUAAAGCGGUACGCGAGCUGGGUUCAGAACGUCGUGAGACAGUUCGGUCCCUAUCCGUCGUGGGCGUAGGAAAUUUGAGAGGAGCUGUCCUUAGUACGAGAGGACCGGGAUGGACAUACCUCUGGUGUACCAGUUGUCGUGCCAACGGCAUAGCUGGGUAGCUAUGUGUGGACGGGAUAAGUGCUGAAAGCAUCUAAGCAUGAAGCCCCCCUCAAGAUGAGAUUUCCCAACUUCGGUUAUAAGAUCCCUCAAAGAUGAUGAGGUUAAUAGGUUCGAGGUGGAAGCAUGGUGACAUGUGGAGCUGACGAAUACUAAUCGAUCGAAGACUUAAUCAA
rnacentral:rRNA from 1 species